CGGGCGCGCCCCGGACGUGACCUCGCGGGCGCGCGCCGGAGCCGCCCUUGGGAGGCGCCCGCGCCCCCCGCACAGCUCUUCCCACACUUGGAAUUGAUUUCUGUCCGUGGACCCAAUCUUGUCUGACUCUCUUGCUGGGCUGAGUUCCACGAGGAGAAUGUCUGUGGAAAGGAAGCCCAAAGCCUGGUCUGGGUCUGGCUGGGAAGAGGCGCGCGGGGAGGGGAGGGGAGAGGAGGGGAGUGGGGGCGAGCAGGCCUGGGGAGGAAGUCUGCAGCCCCAGGCUGCCCUGCUGAGGGCGGCGUCUGUGUUUGCACCUUUGGAAUGUGGCUGACUCACUCUGGAGGGAGCCCUGUGCAGCCACCGCUGCCGCCUUGGAUCCAACAUCUGGAGGCUGAAUUCCAGGAGGAGAGAGACAGAUUCCUGCAAGCAGAUGCCAGCUUUGAAGGUCAAACUGAGUGAUGGAGCUGCUGUGAGAGGAGGCGAGAGGGUCCAACACUCCCCUCCAGGAUUCCCCCCCAGGAUUCUGGGAGAGAGGUGAGGCCCCCUCCCGGCAUAGUCCCAGCCCCUAAGCUAUGAGAUCCUCUAAGGGGACAGCCUGGGGCAGGGAAACAGCCUAGCUCUGCAGUCAGACGUGGGUUCAAAGACCGGUUACUUAACAGCUCAUAUAACUGCAAAGGCCAAGGGCUUAGCUGGUCCAGGGCCCAGCAAUGGUGCUGGGACACUGGCCUGCAUCUCCUGGCCCAUGUCGUCUGGUGGCUUUCCUCUCCGGCCAGCACUCCCCGAGGCCUGUGAACUCCCAGCUUGUCUCUCCCCGGGACUCCAGCAAGACCCUCUCCUCGGCCCAGUUGUGGCCCAGCACAUCCUGGACACUGAUUGGACAGGUCUGGGUCAGGAGCUCGUCCCAGCACAGGGCUGACACUCCUAGAACCACAUGGAGAAAGUGGGACUCGGGGGUCCCCCAAGAAGCCAAUGCCAGGUGGUAGGCAGAAACAGCAGACACACCCACUUUGCUAAACUGCUACCACAGGCCUGGCUCUGGGGCUUGUCCCAGGCACUGUGCUCGGCUUUAUGGCUUUUGCCUACCCGGUGUCCCACCGGUUCAGUUCCUUAAGCUCUCGGAAGCUCCUUUUCUUCAUCUAUGAAAUCUCAGAGGAGUCUUUGCAGGAUUGAAUGAAACUGUGCAGGCAAAUCCCUUGGCACCUGCCUGGCCCAGAGGAGGCACGGUGCUGACUCGUCCACUUCUCAUUCUCUUCCCUUUACCUAGGUUCUAUGCGAUCUGCCCUGUGGGCUGAGAGGACGGUGCAUGUGUGCGUGUGUGUGCAUGCGUGUGGGCAGCACCUUUUCUCUUCUCCAAGGAGUAUUGUAUUGGUUGGCUUCUCCCCAGAGAGGGUUAGAGACCACACAGGACAGAGAGUGGAAGCAGGAGGGCCAGGAAAGGGAUGGAGAGAGAAGCAUGUGGGCCUCACCUGCAGGCCUGCAGGCUCAGGCCUGCCUCUGGGUGUCGCCUCCCUGUGCCCUCAGCUCCACCUGGGGCUGGAGGAGGGGCCUAGGUGUCCUCCGCUCUGCUCCAGUUCUACUGAGGAGUGGCUGCCCCUGUCCAUCCCAUGCCACAUCAUAGGCGUGUCUGGUCAUUUGACAUUGCCGGGAGGGCCUGAAUCAGGCUUGCUGAUCUCUUAUAUUCUCUCUUCUCCUGGAACCCUGGAACGGGGGAGUGGGUCAGAAGGGGACCCCAGGCCUGGGCUUCUCAGAAGAGGAAACUCAGUGCCUAGCGUAGUCUGAGCCUCUCCCACACCUUGGGAGAAACCUGGAGCUUCUGGGAGGGCGGAGGGCAGGCCUACUGUGAGCUUUUUGCAGCUAUUUGUGAACUGAAGUAGAGCACCUCCCAGAAUCUGCUUGGGGAACAUGGAGCCCUGGAAUGAGUGUGCCACCCUCUGGGCUUGGCGCCCUCCGCUGCUGCCAGCCCUGCCCGGUGGCACAGGUCCACGGGUGCCUGCUUGUCCUAUCCCCGCCAAGCCACCCAAGUCCUCUGAUUCUCAGCGCAAAUGCCGCCUCCUCGGAGAAGCCUUUCCCAUUGGCCACGAGGACCCGUGGCUCUUGUCUAAGGCAGUGCUCAGUACUUCAGCGGAGCUUAAUCGGGAACACCACAUCAGCCAACGUCACCAACACAGCGAUCGGCAGCCCCUGCCAUCGGUCUCUCCUCCACAUCCCAUGUGCACCGAGUGUGACCCCCUGUGACGGUCGUUCCAGGCUGCCAGGACCACGCUGCCUGGCUCUCUUAUGGAUGUUGAACGUUCUUUAAUGUGUUCAUCGGUUCUCUUCCAUUAUACGACAGACUCUCUGACAUUGAAGGACAUAGUAAUAAUGAGAGCCACAUUUUCUGAACUCUUACUAACUUCUUUUUAAAAAUUGAGAUAUAAUUCACAUUACUAUAAAAGUCACCCCUUUAGGCGCUGGCCCUGUGGCCGAGUGGUUAAGUUUGUGCGCUCCACUUCGGUGGCCCAGGGUUUCACCGGUUUGGAUCCU